rnacentral:lncRNA from 1 species
AACUUUUAAAUCCAUUUCAUUUUUUUUAAAUGAGGGAAAUGGAUAUAAUUUUUCAGAUACUAAGUAGCUGGAGAGGAUGUUCUUGCUCUCCAAAGCCCAAAGGGACAAAUAGGGACUUUGCUUAGGCCAAGGCAAGAGCGCAAGUGGGCACUCAGUCCUGCAGUUACCAGUCCUACUCCCCACUUACACUAGGGCAUACAUAUACUAUUUUACUUUUUUAAAUCAUAAACGGCAGGAGAACAGAUUUGGUUAGUUUAGAAGAAAAGAAAAAGCUCUAUAAAUAUAAAUAUAUAUUCCUGUAUUUUUAUUUAAUAAUUUAUAAAUGCCAAGUUCAUUUGACUUUUAUUUUUGUGUAAUAUGUAAUGGUCGUAUUAAAAAUAAAUAAAUAAAGCCCAGAAAUUUAAUGAGAAGUACUGAACAGGGUUUUGUGACUUCUAUACUGUACAUCCUGGGUUGUAGAACUCUCCCUAAGCCAGUCAUUUCUUGUGGCCAUGACCUUGCUAAGGGGAAUAACUGGAGUUAUAGGGAUUUGGGAAAUAAAGUAUUGAGGU